rnacentral:piRNA from 1 species
UGGAUGUGUAUGAAGCCUUAGAUGAUGU